rnacentral:rRNA from 1 species
UACAGAGGGUGCAAGCGUUGUUCGGAAUUAUUGGGCGUAAAGCGCGUGUAGGCGGCUUGGCAAGUCAGAUGUGAAAGCCCUCGGCUUAACCGAGGAAGUGCGUCUGAAACUGCUGAGCUUGAGUCUCGGAGAGGAUGGCGGAAUUCCGCAAGUAGAGGUGAAAUUCGUAGAUAUGCGGAGGAACACCGGUGGCGAAGGCGGCCAUCUGGACGAGUACUGACGCUGAGACGCGAAAGCAUGGGGAGCAAACAGG